UUGUCCAGUUAUGCAGAUCUAACAGAGAGGCUGAGGCAAAUAGAUGGUUUCGGUCCUUUUACAUGUGCCAAUGUGCUGAUGUGCAUGGGAUUCUACCAUGCCAUUCCAACUGAUUCUGAAACAAUCAGGCAUUUGAAGCAGGUCCAUGGAAAAAAUUCUACCAUUCAAACUGCUCAAAGUGAUGUGGAGGAUAUUUAUGGACAGUAUGCUCCAUUUCAGUUCCUCGCAUACUGGGCGGAGUUAUGGAACUUUACGGGGAAAGAUUUGGGAAUUUAAGUGCAAUGCCUUGUCAAACUACAAGCUGAUUACUGCCACCAAUAUGAAAAGAGAAGGGAAGUCGCGGAAAAAGAGGAUGAAGCGAUCC